rnacentral:rRNA from 1 species
AACGCGAAGAACCUUACCUGGGUUAAAUCGUCCGGAACCCGCCAGAGAUGGAGGGGUGCCCUUCGGGGAACCGGAUAGAAGGUGCUGCAUGGCUGUCGUCAGCUCGUGUCGUGAGAUGUUGGGUUAAGUCCCGCAACGAGCGCAACCCUUGUCGUCAGUUGCUACCGGGUCAUGCCGAGCACUCUGGCGAGACUGCCGACGUUAAGUCGGAGGAAGGUGGGGAUGACGUCAAGUCCUCAUGGCCCUUAUGCCCAGGGCUACACACGUGCUACAAUGGCCGGUACAAAGGGUCGCAAAGUCGCAAGGCCAAGCCAAUCCCAAAAAACCGGUCUCAGUUCGGAUAGGAGUCUGCAACUCGACUCCUUGAAGUCGGAAUCGCUAGUAAUCGCGGAUCAGCACGCCGCGGUGAAUACGUUCCCGGGCCUUGUACACACCGGAGUGC